rnacentral:rRNA from 1 species
AUUGAACGCUGGCGGCAGGCCUAACACAUGCAAGUCGAGCGAGAGGCGGACGGGUGAGUAAUGUAUGGAGACCUGCCCGAUAGAGGGGGAUAACUACGGGAAACGGUGGCUACUACCGCAUACGAUCGUAUGAACCCAUGUGGGAUUAGCUAGUCGGGGGGGUAAAGGCUCAUCUAGGCGACGAUCCCUAGCUGGUCUGAGAGGAUGAUCAGCCACACUGGGACUGAGACACGGCCCAGACUCCUACGGGAGGCAGCAGUAGGGAAUAUUGGACAAUGGGCGAAAGCCUGAUGCAGCCAUGCCGCGUGAAUGAAGAAGGCCUUCGGGUUGUAAAGUACUGUCAGCGGGGAGGCGUUACCCGCAGAGGAAGCAACGGCUAACUCCGUGCCAGCAGCCGCGGUAAUUC